UACGGAGGGUGCAAGCGUUAUCCGGAUUCACUGGGUUUAAGGGUGCGUAGGAGGGCAGGUAAGUCAGUGGUGAAAUCUCCAAGCUUAACUUGGAAACUGCCGUUGAUACUAUCUGUCUUGAAUACCGUGGAGGUGAGCGGAAUAUGUCAUGUAGCGGUGAAAUGCUUAGAUAUGAACAUAGAACACCAAUUGCGAAGGCAGCUCGCUACACGAAUAUUGACUCUGAGGCACGAAAGCGUGGGGAUCAAACAGGA
rnacentral:rRNA from 1 species